rnacentral:rRNA from 1 species
UACGAAGGGGGCUAGCGUUGUUCGGAAUUACUGGGCGUAAAGCGCGCGCAGGCGGUUCUUUAAGUCAGGGGUGAAAGCCCAGAGCUCAACCCUGGAAUUGCCUUUGAAACUAGAGAACUUGGGUACGGGAGAGGUGAGUGGAAUUCCGAGUGUAGAGGUGAAAUUCGUAGAUAUUCGGAAGAACACCAGUGGCGAAGGCGGCUCACUGGCCCGUUACCGACGCUCAGGCGCGACAGCGUGGGGAGCAAACAGG